rnacentral:lncRNA from 1 species
UGUAACUACAAAUAACUAAUAGUUUAGUUCAUUUGCUCUUCAUAAAGUCAUUUCCAUUUGAUGUCAACUAAAUAAAUCCGAUUUUGGUUGACACCGAAAACGAAAAAAGUUUUCUUUUGUACAAAAAGAUAAUGUCAGAUCUACAAACAAUUGGAGGUAAAUUUUCAAUUUCAAAUUUCAAAUACUCUUAUAUUGUCAUUCACUGCUCUUUCAUAAUUUAAUACUCUCUCAUUCUCUCUCUUUCGAAAAAAAAAAAAAAUCUCUCUCAUUCUCUCAACUGUCUCUCCUCUCUCAUUUUCCUUUUCCUCUUCUCUCUUUGACAACAAGAAGAACACGGCAGGUAUAAGAAUUCAUUUUCCUAAUAUCAUUAAUUAUUUCAUUUGUUGUUGACCUUCAUAUGAUGUAUAUUUGACAAACUACACUUUUAUGUUCAAAUUUGCAGCAUGACAUAUGUUCAAAUUCAAUAUGAAGAUGAGCAAGAUACAUGAGAAAAUACAUAUCCAAAACAGUACUAACAUAUUUUUACAAUUAUCUUUACAACAAAAAAUAUCUACAAAAUCUACAAAAG